rnacentral:rRNA from 1 species
GACAGAGGGUGCAAACGUUGUUCGGAAUUACUGGGCGUAAAGCGCGUGUAGGCGGCCAACUAAGUCGGGCGUGAAAUCCCACGGCUCAACCGUGGAAGUGCACUCGAAACUGGAUGGCUAGAGUCCUGGAGAGGAAGGUGGAAUGCUUGGUGUAGAGGUGAAAUUCGUAGAUAUCAAGCGGAACACCGGUGGCGAAGGCGGCCUUCUGGACAGUGACGUGACG